rnacentral:rRNA from 1 species
AAUAUUGGACAAUGGGCGAAAGCCUGAUCUAGCCAUGCCGCGUGUGUGAAGAAUGUCGUCGGUUUGGAAAGCACUUUACGUUGGGAGGAAGGGCAGUAAGUUAAUACGUUGCUGCUUUGACGUUACCGCCAGUAUUAGUAUUGGCUAACUUCGUAGCAUCAGCCGCGGUAAUACGAAGGUUGCAAUCGUUAAUCGGAAUUACUGGGCAUAAAGCUCGCGUAGGUGGUUUGUUAAGUUGGAAGUGAAAGCCCCGGGCUCAACCUGGGAACUGCUUUCAAAACUGGCAAGCUAGAGUAUGGCAGAGGGUGGUGGAAUUUCCUGUGUAGCGGUGAAAUGCGUAGAUAUAGGAAGGAACACCAGUGGCGAAGGCGACCACCUGGGCUAAUACUGACACUGAGGUGCGAAAGCGUGGGGAGCAAACAGG